UACGAAGGGGGCUAGCGUUGUUCGGAAUUACUGGGCGUAAAGGGCGCGUAGGCGGUGUGUCAAGUCAGGCGUGAAAGCCCCGGGCUCAACCUGGGAACUGCGCUUGAGACUGGCACGCUCGAGUUCGGGAGAGGAUGGUGGAAUUCCCAGUGUAGAGGUGAAAUUCGUAGAUAUUGGGAAGAACACCGGUGGCGAAGGCGGCAUCCUGGACCAAUAUUGACGCUGAGGAGCGAAAGCCAGGGGAGCAAACGGG
rnacentral:rRNA from 1 species